rnacentral:rRNA from 1 species
CGAGGGUGCAAGCGUUAUCCGGAUUCGACUGGGUUUAAAGGGUUGCGUAGGUGGGCGAAGUAAGUCAGUGGUGAAAUCUCCGGGCUUAACCCGGAAACUGCCACUGAUACAUUUGUCUUGAAUACUGUUGGAGGUCAGCGGAAUAUGUCAUGUAGCGGUGAAAUGCUUAGAUAUGACAUAGAACACCAAUUGCGAAGGCAGCUGGCUACACAAAUAUUGACACUGAGGCACGAAAGCGUGGGGAUCAAACAGGAUUAGAUACCCUGGUAGUCCACGCCCUAAACUAUGGAUACUCGACAUUUGCGAUAAACUGCAAGUGUCUGAGCGAAAGCAUUAAGUAUCCCACCUGGGAAGUACGAUCGCAAGAUUG